rnacentral:misc_RNA from 1 species
UUUCCGUAGGUGAACCUGCGGAAGGAUCAUUAAAAAAUGUGGUACCGAUUGUUGGCACUAAAUUAAUCAUCCUACCCUUUGUGAAUUUGUUUGUAACGAAUUUUUUUAAAUGGGUCUUUCCCUAAGUUGGAUUGUAGUAAAUACAAAAAAGACUUAGGGGAAUGACUUUUUAAAAGACUUUUUUUUAAAUUAAAACUUUUUGUAUUCAUUUGUCUAAAAUUUAUUUUUAUAAUAUAAAAACAACUUUUGACAAUGGACUCUUGGUUCUCGCAACGAUGAAGAACGCAGCAAAAUGCGAUAAGUAGUGUGAAUUGCAGAAUACGUGAAUCAUCGAAUCUUCGAACGCAUAUUGCACUUUUUAGUUUACUAAAAAGUAUGUCUGUUUGAGUAUCAGUAAAUAUUCUCACAAACAUAUAUUGUUUGUGGUUAUGAGUGUUUUACAACGAUAAACAAGUUGUUUCACUUUAAAUUCUUUUUAAUUGAUUUUUACCAAUUCAUAAAUUAAAUGGAUAAAAUUUUCCUUUAACCGAGAAUAACCUAAACAAUUUUAAAUUUUAUGGAUUAUAAACAUUCAUAAAGGAAUCUAUACAUAAAUAACUUGACCUCAAAUCAGAUAAGAGUACCGCUGAACUUAAGCAUAUCAAUAAGCGGAGGAAAAGAAACUAACAAGGAUUCCCUUAGUAACGGCGAGUGAAGCGGGAAGAGCUCAAAUUUGAAAUCUUCAAGGUUUGACCUUGACGAAUUGUAGUUUAUAGAAGUGUUUUCUGUUGGAGUUUUGGUAAAAGUUCUUUGGAAUAGGACAUCAUAGAGGGUGAGAAUCCCGUAUUUGACCAUGACUUUCCAGCUGUGUGAUACACUUUCAAAGAGUCGGAUUGUUUGGGAAUGCAGUCCAAAAUGGGUGGUAAAUUUCAUCUAAAGCUAAAUAUUGGCGAGAGACCGAUAGCGAACAAGUACCGUGAGGAAAGAUGAAAAGAACUUUGAAAAGAGAGUUAAACAGUACGUGAAAUUGUCAAAAGGGAAGCGUUUGACACCAGUGUUGUUUUCUCGAAAAUCAAUUUAAUGAGUUCUUGUUUUUAAGUUAUUGUGACUUUAUCAGCGCAUUUCUUAUUUUACUUGACUCAUUGAAUGCACUUUUCGUUUAACAAGUCAACAUCAAUUUCUUUGGUGGUAAAAAGUUUAAAGGAAGGUGCUUGGACUUCGGUUCAAGUGUUUAUAGCCUUUUUUCUAUGCCAUCGGAGAGAUUGAGGUCUGCAGCGUAGAUCCUUCGGGGUUAGAUACCUUUGUGCUAAGUUAUAGUUUUUUAUAGACAACUUGUUGACUAUAAUAACCCUGUAAUUUACUCGCUUAGGCUAUU